rnacentral:ncRNA from 1 species
ACUGUGGAGUGUACAGGGACCUGCGAGUAGUGUGCUGCCUGCAGCCACAAAAGUAUACACGGUGAAGCAGUAA